UACGGGGGGAGCAAGCGUUGUUCGGAUUUACUGGGCGUAAAGGGCGCGUAGGCGGCCACCGCAAGUCAAUUGUGAAAUCUCCGGGCUUAACUCGGAAAGGUCAACUGAUACUGCGGGGCUGGAGUACGGUAGGGGCAGAGGGAAUUUCCGGUGGAGCGGUGAAAUGCGUAGAGAGUCGGAAAGAACACCAACGGCGAAAGCACUCUGCUGGGCCGACACUGACACUGAGAGACGAAAGCUAGGGGAGCGAAUGGG
rnacentral:rRNA from 1 species